ACAUGGAUUUGGAUUUAUGGCAGGCCCGUCCCCCUGGGUUCUCACAGUGCUCAUGCCAGAGCAAACUGUGACCUUCAACCAUUACCUGGUCUCUGCCCGUAGCUGUAGGCACUGAAGCAGGUUACACAAUC
ensembl:snoRNA small nucleolar RNA SNORA42/SNORA80 family